UGGGAUUACGGGUUUGGAAAGCAACGACGCGAUUCCAGUUGUUACGCUGGAAGUCAGAGCGAAGUUGAGCAGGUGAGUAGCGGUACUCUACGAAAUCGAAAUGGCGAAUAGGAGUAACGGCUUGAAGUUUACCACCAACAUACACAUUUCCAGCACGACCAAACAAGUAGUCGACGGCAGGGUGGGCGCGAUCAUUAGCACCAAAUACCUUUUCAGCUUCGUUCGCCUUAUCUGGGGUAUACUUGUCCUCAACAGUCAAAAUGGCAAUAACAGUUUGCCCAUCCCUAGGAUCUAAUAAUGCAACACGAUCACCGGCCUUCAAAGAAUCGGCCUGCGAUUCAUUGAGGUCCAAGGUGAUAGGGAUGGGAAAGACCUCGCCAGUGCUGAGACGCAAAUUCUCGACGACAUUCAAAUAAUCCUUUUGGUUCAUGAAUCCGUCUAAUGGACUGAAACCUCCGUUCAAAAUGAGUUCCACAUCGCAAAACUGACGUUCCGAUAGUACAAUUUUGGGAAGGCUAGUAGCCUCCUGUUCCAGUUGUUCUCUCAGAGGAGCAUCUCUGGCGUUAAGAUCUUUCAACAAAGCUUUAGUCAUUUUGACACCCCAAAUCGUAAAGGACCUGCUUGUUUAUUUAUAUCUACGUACUGACUAAUAGAAUCCAACCGUAGGCGGGACAAUAGACGUCGGCAAUUGGCAAUUUCUCGCGCAAUUUCCAUUUAGCGGAGAAUGAAUUUUUCCCCAAAAUUUUACUGAGUAGUCACAAACUUGUGACAACAUAACUUGCCGAAAUUAGCAAUUUUACUCGCUCGCUUAAUGAUAAUCUUAAGUAAGUUUAUUUUUUUCAGCAUGUUUCAUUCGUCCACUCCAAAACACAUACAACUUGCAUCCAUUCUACUGAGAAAACUCUUCGAUAACAAUCGUUUUAUUGAAGCGUUACUUCCACUUACAAAUUUCGCUUUUAACUCUUACAUACGUAUUAAAAUCGGAGACCUCAUUCACCGUAGUAGGUGUCUUGUUACAUUGUCGUGGGAGCUUUUCCAGUAUACGUGGAUGUUUAUUCUCCUAUCUACUCCUUUACUGCUAUAGCAUGCCGAACGAGUGAAAAUAUAGGAUUCUGUUCAAGCCUGAAACCCAUCAUCUUCUAUCGUCAUGGAACAUCAAUAAAACUAAUGAGGACAGAAUUCGCAAUCCAAGGGUGUGUUAAAAAAUUAUCGUGUUCCAAGCAAAGCGAGACGUUCUAGAAUAGCUAAAAGAAAUUGUCAAACAAUUAAAUGGCCAAAACCAAUUCGUUUAUUAGGUGUCAAUAAAAACAAGCAGAAUUAAUGUCUCAACGACGAAAGUUAUAAUUACAAACUGAGUAGGAAAUUUCUUUUAACUUAUUGUCAGUCGAUUUGGUAGCGGUGCGGUAUCAUAUGAUUAAAGUCAAUAAAAUUGUUCACACGGGUUACAUUUAAUUGAAGAUGGGAAUAUCAAAUGGAGACCCUUAAUUAUGUUUGACAAGUUUGCUUUUUAAUGCAGAAAAAUCAUGAAAUUCUUUUGUGUUUAACUAGAUGCUUGUAUCUUUUUUCUGCCCUUUUAGCAAAUCUUUUUAAUUGGUUGGCUGUAUUUCUGUAGUUCUCGCUCAACGAAAAUAACUGAGAUAUCUGUGAAAAGUUACAUUGUCGAAUAAUUUUAAAAAUUGAGAUCUAUAUUACUUUUAUUUACUCAACUCGUACGUUUGCUUAGCUACCAAUUAUGUGGGUAUAUCCAAAACCUCCUUAGCUUUAUUAAUUUUUGCAUUACAUCCACGGAUAACGAAAUGUGAUGCAGUACAUUUUUUGAUAUAUCACGGUAUAACGAUUAUUUGAAAAAGCCAAAUUGCGAAAGAAAAAUUGCGUGUUAAAUAUACGAUACGAUUCAUUUCAGUAAAUUGCUUUGUGUGUGUAACAAAUCUUUUUUUUUUCAAUGUCACACUUGGCUUUCUGCCUUUUUCCAACAUCUCAUCCUCGAUAGGUCCCUUCUUUUCCUUAUCC